UUAAAUUUUAUUUAUUUAUUUAGUUUUUGUUUAUUUAAUUUAUUAAAAAUAAUUAUAAAUUAAAAAGUUUUAGUAUUAUUUAAAGAAAAAAUAAAUUUAAUUAUAGUGAAUUAGUAUUGUAAAAGAAAAUUGAAAUAAUUUGAAAAAUUAUUAUUUAAAAAGAAAAUUUAAUUUAUGACCU
rnacentral:rRNA from 1 species